CCACAAGUCCACAACUCUCGCGUCACAAAUUUGUUGGCCCUGAAGCACGAGGAAAGGCGACAAAGAUGGCUUCCAAGAUGGUCGGCGCCCUCUUCCUGGUCCUCCUUUUGGCGCUUAACACGAGCGAUGCCCAGGUGUUGCCGACCCCUUGCUGCCGCAUCGACUGCUGCGACGGCAAGCCCCAAUGUUGCGCCCCAUGGCACCGCCCGCCCAUCACCGCGGUGGCACCAUCUACUUUGCAGGCCCCCACCACUGCUGCCGCGCCUCGCAAGGUCUUGGCCGGAAACUCGAUCGAAAUGUCCAUCGCGGGGCCUUAGAAGUUUUUCUUCUUGCAAUUUAUAUCUAUGUAGUUGCAUGUAUGAUGGAAACUAUUCGUUGGACACAGUAAUAAAAUUUUAUGCCCACACCCCGGCCGACCCCCUCCUGUUACUAACCCUAGCUGCCCCUCCACCCUAGCCGGCGCCCACCCUCUCUACGGCGCCGCCACCCUCUACCACCGACCCCUCCCACCCCCUCUCCUCCCUCCCCACCCGAUCUUCACCCCGGGUCAUCUCGCGCGAGGCGGCUCCGGGCAACAACCCAAACCCUAGCCAGAGGGUCGUGGUUCCCAGCCAUGGCGGCGGCGUGGGUGCCGGCCAUUCCGGCUUUCAUGGUGGUGGCCAUAGGGUUCUAAUUUUGCGAAGAUGAAGACGUUCUGGAUGCCAAUCUUUCUUCAUCUAUCCGGGGUGAUGAGCUCCGGAAGGCUCCGACAGCGAAUGUAACUAUUCAUCUUUCGCCUGGAGUUCACAUGAUCGGCUGGUAUUCGGAGCGAAUUUAUCAAUGCAGCUUUUAUUCCGACCGUUUCGUUCCGGAGGGAGCGGCGUGAAGCUCUGUUCUGUGUUGACAUCAAGAGACUUUUGGUCCAUGGUGAAAUCAGAAGCAGAGAAUAUCAUGAAGGCGGGAUUGGGGGAUUAGCUAAAGAAGGUUCAAGUCUUCGCGAUGUUGAGGAGCUUGCUUGGUGUUCCAGUAUGCGCAUCAGUGGUAUGGAAGUGGAGGCGACAUCAUAGGUGAAGUUCAAAGUCCUACCUUUCAGGGUGAAAACCCAAGGUCUGGCCUUAACUAGUUGUGCAUGACAAUGACCUUGUUGGAGGCAUUGUUUUAAGAGCGGGGACUUUCUUCAGGGUGAAAACCUAAGAUCUUUGAUCCGGUGACGACAGCGCUGGUGCAUUGUUUCCUUCUUGGAGGCGUCCCUUUUGGAGAGUCUGUAUUUCAGGUGUUGUCUUGAUGGUGGAUGUACUGCUGUUGCUAGGCCUGGGAUACUGAGGCGGCAUUUUAUUUAUUAGGUUUAUUUUCUCUUUUGGCUAUGUGCAUCCACACUGCCAUUAGGGUGGUGCAUUGUUGCAGAGUCUGGGUGUAAUUGAAUCUUUUGAUAUUAAUAAUAUGACACCACGCGAAGGUUUUGCAUUGUU